rnacentral:lncRNA from 1 species
CAAAUUAUCUAAUUAAUUUUUUUAAAUACCUGUUUACGAGGGUUGUUGAAUUCUGAUGUCAGAAGCCAACGCCACUCGUACUCCCUGUACUGGAACUCAGCAGGGGUACCAGAACGUUCGUUCCCGUGCUUAGUCCAGUGGGUCCCCAACUCGUUCUUCCACUUCUUGUACCUACAGAUACAACAAAAUUAUUAGAAAUAUUAUUAAUAUCACAUACAAUUUUGUUUUUCAUUAACUUCCCAACGUACCUUCCCCCAUGCACAACGUCGGCCCAGCUGUCCUUCAGGUGCUCGGGAACCUCAAACCACACCUGCAUUUAACCGUUUAUUGGUUUAGUUUUUCGAGAAAUCAACAAUGUAAUACAUAAUAUUAUUUUGUAAACUCACCGACAUCGCGUUGUGGACCAUGUCCUUAACCUCCUGCGGGACCUCGCCCCAGUCUGACCACAACAUAGGGACUCUAUCCCUAAUGAGCGCUCCCACGCGGCCGGAGUACAUCCUCGACUUCCCGCCCUAUACUAUGUGGCCAUCCCCGUCAGUAUUGAUGACGAUCCUCCCCACGGUACCCACGAUCUUCUCGAGAGCCUUCCCUGUGACGGGGCCUCUCUUCUUCUUUGUCGGCUUCGCUCCGACGGUGCCUAUCACAUGAUAAACCAAAUUGAUUAUUAAAAUCGGAGACCCUUUAUUAUUAAUUAUAAGAAAAGUAAUCAUGCAUCACUGAUUACCUGAGGCGCUCACGGCGGACCCGACGGAUUCCGUCUCUGUCGCCGAUGAUGAUACCCUCGCGGAAAUAAGAGGCGUAUCAAAAGGCACGAACCGGUACGCCGCUGAUGGAGCCACUGGCGGGGGCAAUGGAUAAAUCGGCAUCCCUGAGCCAUCGACUACAGGUAAGGCCGGUAUCAUCCGCGGAAGGAACAGAUGAGGCGGCGGCAUCUGUACCUCAGAUGACCCACUAUCCGAAGAAAUAGGACUCGGAGUGGGCGCCCGGUGUAUCUCAGGCAUACGGGGUGC